rnacentral:misc_RNA from 1 species
AACUUUUGGCAACGGAUCUCUUGGUUCUGGCAUCGAUGAAGAACGCAGCGAAAUGCGAUAAGUAAUGUGAAUUGCAGAAUUUAGUGAAUCAUCGAAUCUUUGAACGCAUAUUGCACCCCUUGGUAAUCCUUGGGGUAUGCCUGUUCGAGCGCCGUUUAUGUCCUAAGGCAUUGCCUUGUGUUGAUGUUGUUCUGUUAAGAACUCGUUAAAAGAUAUUGGCAUUGACUUGUGAUCUAAAUCGCAGUGAUAAUGUGAUGAAGAUAACAAGUUGAUUGCCUAAUUUCGAAUACAUGGCCUCGGAUCAGGUAGGGAUACCCGCUGAACUUAAGCAUAUCAAUAAGCGGAGGCU